rnacentral:lncRNA from 1 species
CUGGGGCAGAAAUCCGUCUCUGUGAGCGGAGGAGGGUGUGCUUAUGCGAGAGCAGGUUUUGGGAGCUCACUAAAGCAGGGUCUCACUCUGUUGCUCAGGCUGGAGUGCAGUUGGUAUGAUCAUGGUUCACUGCAGCCUCAAUCUCCCAGGCUCAAGCAAACCUCCACCUCAGCCUCCCAAGUAGCUGGGACCACAGGUCCCUGAUUCUGGUCUUGAAUAGCGGAGGAGGAAAAGAAGAUGAUGGGGGAAAAGAAAAGAAGCCAUUUAUGCAUCCCUCCCUAAUUCAGUAUCCGAGCAUGAGGGAGUGUCAAGCUAGUGGGGAAGAAGAGAGGGUUUAGUUUUGAAUGAAGUUGGGAGUUUUUAUUAUUGCACUGAACUAAAUAGGCAUUUUACUAAAGUCAAGACUGUUCUUGUUAUUUAAAGGAACGGGAUCAUCAAUGGAACUCUUUGAGAUUUCAUCCAGAGGCUGGGAAAGAACAUUCAUGGUAGCUUUUAUUAUUAUUUUCAUUAUUGUAAGUUGAGGAAGAGAAAACCCAGGAAAAUAUACAAAGAGUGAUUGGAAUUAAUAAGAGUAAAACAAGGUGGCUGUAUAAAAGGUCAAUAUUCAAAAUCAAUUUUGUUAUUACUUACUAGCAACAUAAUUUUUUUUUUUUUUUUUUGAGACAGAGUUUCACUCUUGUUGCCCAGGCUGGAGUGCAACGGCGUGAUCUUGGCUCACUGCAACCUCCACCUCCCGGGUUCAAGCGAUUCUCCUGCCUCAGCCUCCCGAGUAGCUGGGAUUACAGGCAUGCACCGCCACACCUGGCUAAUUUUGUAUUUUUAGUACAGAUGGAGUUUCACCAUGUUGGUCAGGCUGGUCUCGAACUCCUGACCUCAGGUGAUCUGCCCGCCUCAGCAUCCCAAAAUGCUGGGAUUAUAGGCAUGAGCCACCGCACCUGGCCAGCAACAUAAUCUUUCUUUAAAAAUAUACCUGUUCACGACUGAGGCUCAGGGAAAAGAAAAGGAAAAAAAAUACCAUCUACAGUAGCAACAAAAUAUAAGAUUUUCAGAAUCAAUCUAACAAAAAAUGUACAAUAUGUACAGGAGAAAAUCCUGAAAUGUUACUGAAAAAAAUUAGGAAAUAUCAAUAAAUGGAGUGCUAUAUCAUAUUCCUGGAAGGAUUCAAUAGCAUAACAAUGUUAACUCCCCCAAAAUUGAUCUAGAAAUUCAAUUCUAUUCCAAUCAAAAUGCCAGCAGAGUAUUUGUGGGUGUGAUUUGAUGCUCUGAUUAUAUAAUUCAAAUAGAACAACAAGGAUCCAAGAAUAACCAGAACAACUUUAAAGAACAAGGUGGGUGAACUACCUCUACCACAUAUUAAGUCUCAUUAUGAGAUACAGUUUUUAAGACAGCCUGGCAUUAGAGUAAGGACAGAAAAACAAAAGAAUAAAACAACAUAAAGAGAGAAACACGACAGAAAAAGAAUAUACAAAACAGAAACAGACCCAAACAUAUAAAGAAACUUGACAGGUGACAGAGCAGCAUUAACUAUUCCUGGACUGAUUAUCCAUGUGGAAAAAGUUAAUCAGAUUUCCACCUCAUACAUACAAAUUUAUUUAUAUAAAAUAAAUUCCAGAUGAAUUAAACCUAAAUGUGGAAAGCAAAACUUUGAAAAUACAGGAAUAUGUAAAAACAUAUAUGUAUGAUCCACAUAUAUGAUAAAAUGGAGGAUAGCAGGGCACAGCAGCAUGCACCUGUAGUCCUGCCUCAGCCUCUUUAGUAGGUGAGGUAGCUGAGGCAGAAGAAUCACUUGAGCCCAGGAAUUCGAGGCCAGCUUGGGCAACAUAGCAAGACCCAGUCUCUAAAAACAAUUUAAAAAGUUUACAAAAAAGAAUAAUAAGGCAUAAAAGGGUUUCUUAAAAAGCACAAACAAUAAAGAAAAUCCUGAUAAAUUCAGUAACAUUAAAUUUAGAAACUCACGUCUAACAAAAGACACUAAUUUUGAAAAGUCAAAGAUGGGCCACUGACCUAGAGUAAACAUUUGCAAAACAUAAAGCUAUCAAGGAUUAUUAUCUAGAAUGAAUAUAUGUAUAAUUAUACUAGAAUGAAUAUAUAUAUAUAUACACACACACACACACACACACAUACACACACACAUUUUUUUCUACCAAUCAAUAAGAAAAAAAGAUUAUAGAAACAUUGGCAAGGGAUAUAAACAGGUAAUUAACAGAAGAGCCUGGCAUUAGAGUAAGGACAGAAGAAGAGAUGGAUGGAUGGUCAAUGAACAUGAGAAAUAUACUUCCUUUCACUGGUAAUCAGGAAAAUGAAAGAAACAAGAUACCAUAACCCAGUGAAUUUACAAAAAUCUUAAAGUUUGACAAUAACAAAUGUUGACAAAGAUGCUGAGUUAUGGAAACUCUCAAACCCUGUUAAUGGGAGAAUAACCUGGUGUAACUGCUUUGAAGAGCAAAUUGGUAAUACCUAGCAAAAUGAAAGUGCAUAUAUUCUACAACCCAACAAUUUUGCUUCUACCAGCUAUCUUAGAGAAACACUUGCAUUAUGUAUACAAGAAGUUAUGUACACAAAGGUUUGCUGUAGCAUCUUUGUAACUCCCAAAUUUGGAAACAAUGUAAAUGUCUAUCAACAGGAAAAUGAAUAAGAACAUUGUGGUUUAUUAACUCAAUGGAUUGAAUGAACUAGAAUAACAUACUGAGGAAUAUCACCAGUGUUGAAUGAGAAAAGCAAAAGGAAGAAGUAUAUAUACCAUUUAUUUAAAGAAAGAGAACAUGCAAAACAAUGCUAUAUAUUGUUUAGUAUGUAUACACUGAUAUAUAGACUGCUUUUACUACAUUAUACAUGUAAUAAAAGCACGAAGACAUGGGAAUAAUAUUUCAAUGCAGAGUGCUUAUUUCAAAAGGUGUAAGGGGGACAGUGGAGCUUCAACUGUGUUUCAUUUCUUAGUCUAGGUGGAAGCUACACAGAAAUGUGUUAUAAUGUUUUCUAUGCCUUUCUGAGUGUCUAAAAUAUUUCAGAAUAAAAAGCAAAGUUUGAGGAGAUUGUUAGGGACCCCGACAUUUGGUUGAGAAGGAAUCCUUUGGUAAUUUCUCUUACAGGAGUUUUCAUAAGUAGCUGUUACAAAAAAGAUACAUAAGUUAAAAAGAGAAUGAGAAUCGAAGCUGGAAUUGUAAAAUGAACAUUGGCAAGAAGUAAAAAUGGAGUGCAGGAAAAUUAAAGAUUUGUAGAAUGCAAUGGGAGUCUUGGAAAGAGAUUGGUUUUCUGUGAAAAUACCACAUACAUUUGACUGCUUAGAGAAAGCUUUAGAUUGGCAGCCCUUAGGAUACUGGAGAAAGGGAAAAUCCAGCUCAACCUUAAUGAGGACAAGACUGCUCUUUCCUCCAACUCCAGGGGACUUUUGCAAGGGCUCAGUGAAGGAAAGGGGUAAGGAAGGGACGGGUGAUAUUAGUUUAGUGGAGGCUCUGUCCAGUGGUCUGAGCCCUCCCCACAGCCGAGGCUUUGAGCACUCUGACCUACAUAUUAAAAUUCCAUCUGCCUUGGUGAUUUGGUUUGAAUAUUUAUCCCCUCCAAAUCUCAUGUUGAAAUGUGAUCCCCAGUGUUGCAGGUGGGGCCUGGUGGGAAGU